UACGGAGGGGGCUAGCGUUGUUCGGAAUUACUGGGCGUAAAGCGCACGUAGGCGGAUUGUUAAGUCGGGGGUGAAAUCCCGGGGCUCAACCCCGGAAUUGGCUUCGAUACUGGCGAUCUUGAGGUCGGGAGAGGUGAGUGGAAUGGCGAGUGUAGAGGUGAAAUUCGUAGAUAUUCGCCGGAACACCAGUGGCGAAGGCGGCUCACUGGCCCGAUACUGACGCUGAGGUGCGAAAGCGUGGGGAGCAAACAGG
rnacentral:rRNA from 1 species